AACGAAUUAAAACUUUCAACAACGGAUCUCUUGGUUCUGGCAUCGAUGAAGAACGCAGCGAAAUGCGAUAAGUAGUGUGAAUUGCAGAAUUCAGUGAAUCAUCGAAUCUUUGAACGCACAUUGCGCCCCUUGGUAUCCCGAGGGGCAUGCCUGUUCGAGCGUCAUUUCACCAUUCAAGCCUGGCUUGGUGUUGGGCGACGUCCCCUUUGGGGACGCGCUUCGAAAUGCUCGGCGGCGUGGCACCGGCUUUAAGCGUAGCAGAAUCUUUCGCUUUGAAAGUCGGGGCCCCGUCUGCCGGAAGACCUACUCAAGGUUGACCUCGGAUCAGGUAGGGAUACCCGCUGAACUUAAGCAUAU
rnacentral:misc_RNA from 1 species